UACGUAGGGAGCGAGCGUUGUCCGGAUUCAUUGGGCGUAAAGAGCGCGUAGGCGGCGCGGUACGACCGCUGUGAAAGCCCCCAGCUCAACUGGGGAGGGUCAGCGGUAACGGCCGUGCUUUGAGUGCAGGAGAGGGAAGUGGAACUCCGGGAGUAGCGGUGAAAUGCGUAGAGACCCGGAGGAACACCAGUGGCGAAGGCGGCUUCCUGGUCUGCGACUGACGCUGUGGCGCGAAAGCGUGGGGAGCGAACGGG
rnacentral:rRNA from 1 species